rnacentral:rRNA from 1 species
AGUGAACGCUGGCGGUAGGCCUAACACAUGCAAGUCGAACGGCAGCACAGUAAGAGCUUGCUCUUACGGGUGGCGAGUGGCGGACGGGUGAGGAAUACAUCGGAAUCUACUUUUUCGUGGGGGAUAACGUAGGGAAACUUACGCUAAUACCGCAUACGACCUACGGGUGAAAGCAGGGGACCUUCGGACCUUGCGCGAUUGAAUGAGCCGAUGUCGGAUUAGCUAGUUGGCGGGGUAAAGGCCCACCAAGGCGACGAUCCGUAGCUGGUCUGAGAGGAUGGUCCGCCACCCUUGAAACGGGGCAAGGGCCCGACCCCCAAGGGAAGGCAGCGGUGGGAAUUUUGGACCAUGGGCGCAAGCCUGAUCCAGCCAUACCGCGUGGGUGAAGAAGGCCUUCGGGUUGUAAAGCCCUUUUGUUGGGAAAGAAAAGCAGCAGGUUAAUACCCCGCUGUUCUGACGGUACCCAAAGAAUAAGCACCGGCUAACUUCGUG